rnacentral:ncRNA from 1 species
GGUUAAGCUACUAAGAGCGCACGGAGGAUGCCUAGGCACUAGGAGCCGAAGAAGGACGUGGCGAACAACGAAAUUGCCUCGGGGAGCCGUAAGCAGGCUUUGAUCCGGGGAUGUCCGAAUGGGGAAACCCGGCUGCGGUAAUGCGCAGUCACUUCUUACUGAAUACAUAGGUAAGUAGAGGCAUACCAGGGGAACUGAAACAUCUAAGUACCCUGAGGAAGAGAAAACAAUAGUGAUUCCGUCAGUAGCGGCGAGCGAACGCGGAUUAGCCCAAACUUACGCAUUUAUGCGUAGGGGUUGUAGGACGUCUCACAUGGAGUUACAAAGGUGUUGGUUAGGCGAAGAGGUCUGGAAAGGCCCGCUAGAAGAGGUAAAAGCCCUGUAACCAAAAGUCAGCACCCUCCGAGACGGAUCCUGAGUACGGCGGGACACGUGAAACCCCGUCGGAAUCCGGCAGGACCAUCUGCCAAGGCUAAAUACUCCCUAGUGACCGAUAGCGAAGCAGUACCGUGAGGGAAAGGUGAAAAGCACCCCGGAAGG